GAAAACACAAAGAUUGACCUGAUGGACUACUAGUUUUAGGUACAUCUCAUACAGGGAGAAUGAUGGCAAGAAUAGCUCAACACUCAACUUGCUGGACAACCCCACAGCCCUGUUCCUUGCCAUGGUCCCCCAUGUUACACUGGAAUCAGCCUUGCCAGCGUGCUCAGCCUGACAUUGAUGUGCUUUGCUUACACCUCAUUGCGUGCCAGCAGUGACGUGGGAUUUGCUUUUUUGGGCUUUGGGAAAGAGGUGUGAAGAAGAGAGGGACCAAAAUGAUGGGAGUCACGGACUGACAAGUGAUGUCUUACCCAUAUUCCAAACAGUCCUCUGAUGGCUGGAGAAAAAGUUUUUAGAUUCUCAGCAAAAUUUGGGAAUUCUUGAAGAAAAGCCUUUCCUAAUCAUCUCCCCAUGUGCCUGCCCUGCUGACUCUUGGAGCAUCUCCAAGAGGACAGCUCAGGCAGGUCAAGCAGGACAGCUCAGUAGAGGUCACGCUUUGAAAUGCCCUCUUUCAUCUGGGUGUACAAUAUAAAGGCUGACAAGUUGUGCUGUCUAAACUUCCAUAUUGCUUUUUUUUUUUGCCAUGUCACACUCACGCCUUGGUCAAAUGCUGCCUGCUUAAGUUAUUAGCAUUGUAAACACCUAUUAUGUUUCUCAUGCACUUCAUAUGUC
rnacentral:lncRNA from 7 species